GACAGAGGGUGCAAACGUUGUUCGGAAUUACUGGGCGUAAAGCGCGUGUAGGCUGCUUGGAAAGUCGGGUGUGAAAGCCCUGGGCUCAACCCAGGAAGUGCACUCGAAACUUCCGAGCUCGAGUUCUGGAGAGGAUAGCGGAAUUCUCGGUGUAGAGGUGAAAUUCGUAGAUAUCGAGAGGAACACCAGUGGCGAAGGCGGCGAUCUGGGCAGAUAUUGACGCUGAGGUGCGAAAGCGUGGGGAGCAAACAGG
rnacentral:rRNA from 1 species